UACGUAGGGUGCGAGCGUUGUCCGGAAUUAUUGGGCGUAAAGAGCUCGUAGGCGGUGUGUCACGUCGGCCGUGAAAACCUGCAGCUUAACUGUGGGCGUGCGGUCGAUACGGGCAUCACUGGAGUUCGGCAGGGGAGACUGGAAUUCCUGGUGUAGCGGUGAAAUGCGCAGAUAUCAGGAAGAACACCCGUGGCUAAGGCGGUUCUCUAGUACGGUACUGACGCUGAGACGCGAAAGCGUGGGGAGCGAACAGG
rnacentral:rRNA from 1 species